CGAAAAACUAAUUCCGUUUCUUGCUGUCGAAAGGCUGCUUCAAUGUCGAAAGCAAGCUUUUAUUAUUCAUUUCGAAAGUGUUAAGCAAUG
rnacentral:lncRNA from 1 species